rnacentral:rRNA from 1 species
AGAGUUUGAUCCUGGCUCAGAUUGAACGCUGGCGGCGUGCCUAACACAUGCAAGUCGAGCGGUAACAGGUGUAGCAAUACAUGCUGACGAGCGGCGGACGGGUGAGUAACGCUUGGGAAUCUGCCUAUUAGUGGGGGACAACCCGGGGAAACUCGGGCUAAUACCGCAUACGCACUACGGUGGAAAGCCGGGGACCGCAA